rnacentral:rRNA from 1 species
GUACUAGAACGUCGCCAUACCCUAACCCGCAAGGGAGGGAGGCGCCUAAGGUAGUGGUCGGUGAUUGGGGUG